UACGUAGGGUGCAAGCGUUGUCCGGAAUUAUUGGGCGUAAAGAGCUCGUAGGCGGUCUGUUGCGUCGGCUGUGAAAACCCGGGGCUCAACUCCGGGCCUGCAGUCGAUACGGGCAGACUAGAGUUCGGUAGGGGAGACUGGAAUUCCUGGUGUAGCGGUGAAAUGCGCAGAUAUCAGGAGGAACACCGGUGGCGAAGGCGGGUCUCUGGGCCGAAACUGACGCUGAGGAGCGAAAGCGUGGGGAGCGAACAGG
rnacentral:rRNA from 1 species